GAGGAAGUUGGGGUGGUUCAAGUGGCCAAUUCUCAGUCUCUCUCGUUCUUCCCUAAGUGAAAUUUGUGCCUGAAUUUAUUUGUCCAGAUUAAGUUCAUUGAAUAUGAUUUUAAGGAGCAAGGAAUCCUUUACAGGAGUUGGAGAUUGCAAUUUUAAAGCAAAAGGAGAGGUAUUAAGACAGCUAUGUGCUUCCUCCAGACUACUUCAUUAUCGAAAGACAUCAUAAAAGAAAAUUUAGCUGGAAUUAAGCAGGGAAACCACAUCCUCGAAGAUGGUGGAAUAAAUUGCAAGAGGACUUCAGUUUGAACGUUUACUAUAUAUUGAAGCCGAUAACACUGAGAAAUCCAAGAUGACUCGUAGCUGGAGGAAUUUAUUGCUAGAGGACUUUGUUUCAACGUUUACUAUAAUAGUUUGAAGCCGGUUAUCCAGGGACUCCUUUUUUUUUUUUUUUUUUUUU